rnacentral:rRNA from 1 species
UGCCAGCAGCCGCGGUAAUACGAAGGGACCUAGCGUAGUUCGGAAUUACUGGGCUUAAAGAGUUCGUAGGUGGUUGAAAAAGUUGGUGGUGAAAUCCCAGGGCUUAACUCUGGAACUGCCAUCAAAACUUUUUAGCUAGAGUAUGAUAGAGGUAAGUGGAAUUUCUAGUGUAGAGGUGAAAUUCGUAGAUAUUAGAAAGAACACCAAAUGCGAAGGCAACUUACUGGGUCACUACUGACACUGAGGAGCGAAAGCAUGGGUAGCGAAGAGGAUUAGAUA